rnacentral:tRNA from 1 species
GGGCCUGUAGCACAGUUGGUAGCGCGCCUCUAUGGCAUGGAGGAGGUCAGGGGUUCGAAUCCCCUCAGGUCCA